UCCAUGGUGGCGCGCACCUAGCUACUUGGGAGGCUGAGGCUGGAGGAUCACUGUAGCCUAGGAGUUCUAGGCUGCUGUGUGCUAUGCCGAUCGGGUGUCCACAGUAAGUUUAGUAUCAAUAUGGUGACCCCCUGGGAACGGGGGACCACCAGGUUGCCUAAGGAGGGGUGAACCGGCCCAGGUCGGAAACGGAGCAAGUCAAAACUCCCGUGCCAAUCAGUAGUGGGAUCGUGCCUGUGAAUAGCCACUGUACUCCAGCCUGGGCAAUAUAGUGAGACGCGGUCUCUC
ensembl:misc_RNA Metazoa_SRP Metazoan signal recognition particle RNA